AUUGAACGCUGGCGGCAUGCCUUACACAUGCAAAUCGAACGGUAACGGGCCUUCGGGUGCCGACGAGUGGCGAACGGGUGAGUAAUACAUCGGAACGUGCCCGAUCGUGGGGGAUAACGAGGCGAAAGCUUUGCUAAUACCGCAUACGAUCUACGGAUGAAAGCAGGGGACCGCAAGGCCUUGCGCGGACGGAGCGGCCGAUGGCAGAUUAGGUAGUUGGUGGGAUAAAAGCUUACCAAGCCGACGAUCUGUAGCUGGUCUGAGAGGAUGAUCAGCCACACUGGGACUGAGACACGGCCCAGACUCCUACGGGAGGCAGCAGUGGGGAAUUUUGGACAAUGGGCGCAAGCCUGAUCCAGCCAUGCCGCGUGCAGGAUGAAGGCCUUCGGGUUGUAAACUGAUUUUGUAUGGAACGAAAAGCCUUCUUUUAAUACAGGAGGGUCAUGACGGUACCGUAAGAAUAAGCACCGGCUAACUACGUG
rnacentral:rRNA from 1 species